rnacentral:rRNA from 1 species
AGAGUUUGAUCCUGGCUCAGGACGAACGCUGGCGGCGUGCCUAAUACAUGCAAGUCGAGCGGACAGAAGGGAGCUUGCUCCCGGAUGUUAGCGGCGGACGGGUGAGUAACACGUGGGUAACCUGCCUGUAAGACUGGGAUAACUCCGGGAAACCGGAGCUAAUACCGGAUAGUUCCUUGAACCGCAUGGUUCAAGGAUGAAAGACGGUUUCGGCUGUCACUUACAGAUGGACCCGCGGCGCAUUAGCUAGUUGGUGGGGUAAUGGCUCACCAAGGCGACGAUGCGUAGCCGACCUGAGAGGGUGAUCGGCCACACUGGGACUGAGACACGGCCCAGACUCCUACGGGAGGCAGCAGUAGGGAAUCUUCCGCAAUGGACGAAAGUCUGACGGAGCAACGCCGCGUGAGUGAUGAAGGUUUUCGGAUCGUAAAGCUCUGUUGUUAGGGAAGAACAAGUGCGAGAGUAACUGCUCGCACCUUGACGGUACCUAACCAGAAAGCCACGGCUAACUACGUGCCAGCAGCCGCGGUAAUACGUAGGUGGCAAGCGUUGUCCGGAAUUAUUGGGCGUAAAGGGCUCGCAGGCGGUUUCUUAAGUCUGAUGUGAAAGCCCCCGGCUCAACCGGGGAGGGUCAUUGGAAACUGGGAAACUUGAGUGCAGAAGAGGAGAGUGGAAUUCCACGUGUAGCGGUGAAAUGCGUAGAGAUGUGGAGGAACACCAGUGGCGAAGGCGACUCUCUGGUCUGUAACUGACGCUGAGGAGCGAAAGCGUGGGGAGCGAACAGGAUUAGAUACCCUGGUAGUCCACGCCGUAAACGAUGAGUGCUAAGUGUUAGGGGGUUUCCGCCCCUUAGUGCUGCAGCUAACGCAUUAAGCACUCCGCCUGGGGAGUACGGUCGCAAGACUGAAACUCAAAGGAAUUGACGGGGGCCCGCACAAGCGGUGGAGCAUGUGGUUUAAUUCGAAGCAACGCGAAGAACCUUACCAGGUCUUGACAUCCUCUGACAACCCUAGAGAUAGGGCUUUCCCUUCGGGGACAGAGUGACAGGUGGUGCAUGGUUGUCGUCAGCUCGUGUCGUGAGAUGUUGGGUUAGUCCCGCAACGAGCGCAACCCUUGAUCUUAGUUGCCAGCAUUCAGUUGGGCACUCUAAGGUGACUGCCGGUGACAAACCGGAGGAAGGUGGGGAUGACGUCAAAUCAUCAUGCCCCUUAUGACCUGGGCUACACACGUGCUACAAUGGACAGAACAAAGGGCUGCAAGACCGCAAGGUUUAGCCAAUCCCAUAAAUCUGUUCUCAGUUCGGAUCGCAGUCUGCAACUCGACUGCGUGAAGCUGGAAUCGCUAGUAAUCGCGGAUCAGCAUGCCGCGGUGAAUACGUUCCCGGGCCUUGUACACACCGCCCGUCACACCACGAGAGUUUGCAACACCCGAAGUCGGUGAGGUAACCUUUAUGGAGCCAGCCGCCGAAGGUGGGGCAGAUGAUUGGGGUGAAGUCGUAACAAGGUAGCCGUAUCGGAAGGUGCGGCUG